AGCUGCGCAGUGAGCACAAAGCGAACUAUUCUUUCGCCUUUUACUAAAGAGUACCGUGUGCUCGUUGACGAUAGCGGCAUACGUCAAUUUUUUGAAGGUAUCUCUUCUAUUGGAGGAGG